rnacentral:lncRNA from 1 species
GUGAACAAGGUUAAGUUUUGGUGGUCAAGUCCAUAUCUCAGAUACUAUAAGCAAUAGGGCUAGUAUAUUCGGUGUAUGGAAGGACUGUAAGGUGUACAUGUCCAACUGGCAGGUGUCAUCUGACCUUGACCUCAUUUUCAUGGUUCAGUGGUUAUAGUUAAAUUUUUGUGUUUUGGUCUGUUGUUCUCAUACUAUAUGCAAUAGGUCUACUAUAUUUGUUGUAUGGAAUGAUUGUAAGGUGUACAUGUCUAGCGGGCAGAUGUCAUGUGACCUUGACCUCAUUUUCAUGGUUCAGUGGUCAAAGUUAAGUUUUUGAGUUUUGG